rnacentral:rRNA from 1 species
CUACCCGGGUUUCUAAUCCUGUUUGCUACCCACGCUUUCGUGUCUCAGCGUCAGUUGCGGUCCAGAGAGCCGUCUACACCACAGGUGUUCCUCCUGAUAUCUACGCAUUUCACCGCUACACCAGGAAUUCCACUCUCCCAUCCCGCACUCUAGUCCUCCAGUUUUCGGCGCACCCUCCCAGUUGAGCCGGGAGAUUUCACACCAGACUUAGAGAACCGCCUACACACCCUUUACGCCCAGUAACUCCGAACAACGCUUGCUGCCUACGUAUUACCGCGGCUGCUGGCAC